UGCCCAGUGGGUGUCCUAUACACACAAAGC
rnacentral:piRNA from 1 species